CCUACGGGGGGCUGCAGUGGGGAAUAUUGGACAAUGGGGGGAACCCUGAUCCAGCCAUGCCGCGUGUGUGAAGAAGGCCCUCGGGUUGUAAAGCACUUUCAGUGAGGAAGAACGCCUGGUGGUUAAUACCCAUCAGGAAAGACAUCACUCACAGAAGAAGCACCGGCUAACUCCGUGCCAGCAGCCGCGGUAAUACGGAGGGUGCGAGCGUUAAUCGGAAUUACUGGGCGUAAAGCGCGCGUAGGUGGCUUGAUAAGCCGGUUGUGAAAGCCCCGGGCUCAACCUGGGAACGGCAUCCGGAACUGUCAAGCUAGAGUGCAGGAGAGGAAGGUAGAAUUCCCGGUGUAGCGGUGAAAUGCGUAGAGAUCGGGAGGAAUACCAGUGGCGAAGGCGGCCUUCUGGACUGACACUGACACUGAGGUGCGAAAGCGUGGGUAGCAAACAGGAUUAGAUACCUCUGUAGUC
rnacentral:rRNA from 1 species